rnacentral:tmRNA from 1 species
GGGGAUGUACUGGUUUCGACGGGAUCGUAGGUGGUCAGGUAAGCGAGUCGUAGCCCCGUGCUACGUUAAAAACGGGAAAUUAAAAAUUAACUCACAAUAGCAAUUACGCUAUCGCUGCCUAAUUAGGCGCGCGUCGGCAUGAGGAUCCCGCUGUCUCAUUCACCGGCGUCGAUUUAGCGGGCAAUGUUUCUGUGUAAGCUUUGCCACUGAAACACAUUUAUGAAGCUACUAAAGCCUUGAGCCUGUCUGCGGGCGCCUGGCAGAGGGAAUGUUAAAAUACAGACUGCACUCGGAGAAAGCCUGGUUGUCGCUUUUUCGGACAGGGGUUCGAUUCCCCUCAUCUCCACCA